CCCUAUCCGUCGUGGGCGUAGGAAAAUUGAAGAGAGCUAUCCUUAGUACGAGAGGACCGGGAUGGACACACCGCUGGUGUAUCUGUUGUUUCGCCAGAAGCAGUGCAGAGUAGCUAUGUGUGGAAGGGAUAAACGCUGAAAGCAUCUAAGCGUGAAGCCCCCCUCAAGAUAAGAUAUCCCAUAGCGUAAGCUAGUAAGACCCCACGAAGACUACGUGGUAAAUAGGUCAGAGAUGUAAGUACAGUGAUGUAUUCAGUUGACUGAUACUAAUAGGUCGAGGGCUUAACCUA
rnacentral:rRNA from 1 species